rnacentral:rRNA from 1 species
GACGAACGCUGGCGGCGUGCCUAAUACAUGCAAGUAGAACGCUGAAGAGAGGAGCUUGCUCUUCUUGGAUGAGUUGCGAACGGGUGAGUAACGCGUAGGUAACCUGCCUUGUAGCGGAGGAUAACUAUUGGAAACGAUAGCUAAUACCGCAUAACAAUGGAUGACACAUGUCAUUUAUUUGAAAGGGGCAAUUGCUCCACUACAAGAUGGACCUGCGUUGUAUUAGCUAGUAGGUGAGGUAAUGGCUCACCUAGGCGACGAUACAUAGCCGACCUGAGAGGGUGAUCGGCCACACUGGGACUGAGACACGGCCCAGACUCCUACGGGAGGCAGCAGUAGGGAAUCUUCGGCAAUGGGGGCAACCCUGACCGAGCAACGCCGCGUGAGUGAAGAAGGUUUUCGGAUCGUAAAGCUCUGUUGUAAGUCAAGAACGGGUGUGAGAGUGGAAAGUUCACACUGUGACGGUAGCUUACCAGAAAGGGACGGCUAACUACGUG